UACGAAGGGGGCUAGCGUUGCUCGGAAUCACUGGGCGUAAAGGGUGCGUAGGCGGGUCUUUUAAGUCAGGGGUGAAAUCCUGGAGCUCAACUCCAGAACUGCCUUUGAUACUGGCGAUCUCGAGUCCGGGAGAGGUGAGUGGAACUGCGAGUGUAGAGGUGAAAUUCGUAGAUAUUCGCAAGAACACCAGUGGCGAAGGCGGCUCACUGGCCCGGUACUGACGCUGAGGUGCGAAAGCGUGGGGAGCAA
rnacentral:rRNA from 1 species